ensembl:lncRNA
AGAAAACUGGAGUGGGUUGCCUAAGAACACACAGAACUCUGCAACACAAUUCUCCAGCAGUUUGAAGUAUGUGUACUUUCCAGCCCUUUUCUCUGCCUACUACACCUUGUAAACAUGUUCUGAACAGAUGGGAGAGCGAUCCACUGCAGUUAACCCCAGACACACACAGAGAACCCAAGUUCUUGUUUUCUAAAACAGAUUGUUUACCACAUCUAUUUGUAUUUCUUCUCUUUGGCCCCCUGCAACACACAUGCAUUCAUGAAUUGUAAGUAACCUAAAUUCAUAAUUUUUAAUCUGUUUCAGUCAC